ACAUCCAGAGAAUUUAGCAGAGAUGGCUUUAGUGCCUUCGGGAACUCUGAGACAGGUGCUGCAUGGCUGUCGUCAGCUCGUGUUGUGAAAUGUUGGGUUAAGUCCCGNAACGAGCGCAACCCUUUAUCCUUUGUUGCCAGCACGUAAUGGUGGGAACUCAAAGGAGACUGCCGGUGAUAAACCGGAGGAAGGUGGGGAUGACGUCAAGUCAUCAUGGCCCUUACGAGUAGGGCUACACACGUGCUACAAUGGCGCAUACAAAGAGAAGCGACCUCGCGAGAGCAAGCGGACCUCAUAAAGUGCGUCGUAGUCCGGAUUGGAGUCUGCAACUCGACUCCAUGAAGUCGGAAUCGCUAGUAAUCGUAAAUCAGAAUGUUACGGUGAAUACGUUCCCGGGCCUUGUACACACCGCCCGUCACACCAUGGGAGUGGGUUGCAAAAGAAGUAGAUAGCUUAACCUUCGGGAGGGCGUUUACCACUUUGUGAUUCAUGACUGGGGUGAAGUCGUAACAAGGUAAGCGUAGUGCU
rnacentral:rRNA from 1 species